GGACAGGACCCUUGGGCAGUCAGAGCUACUGCUGCAAAAAUGAGUUGAGGGUGGGGCUACAUUUAAGGCAUAGGUAUGUGAGUUAUUGCUUUACAGGGCAAAGGAAAGAAUACGUAAAAAAGUUGUUAAAAUGAUAUCAGUGCCGGUAGGUUCUGGUUAUUGGGUGGUCCUAUAACUUUUAGAUAAGAAUCAAACCGGGUUAAGUAAAUGGCAGAAGCCACAGCUUAAAUAUUCUCUUCAGCUAAAGACAAAGGAGGAUGUUGGAGGGGGGUCAGUUACAUGAGGUUGCCAGACAGUAAACAACUUAACUCCCUGCCUUCCCCAUUGAGAGUUUCCAGAGAUAAGGCCAUCCCGCCUUCCUCCUGGUGCAGAGGGAGACACCCCCACAGAUGGAGACUAGCUUCACAAAUGCAAAUGUCUCUCAUCAAAGGGCAAGCAAAUUCCACUCUUCAGAGCCCCCUUCUCAUCUGCAGUUUUAAAAGUAACCAGCCUAAAAUCCUCAUCACUUUCACUGUUGACCAACACCCUGGCAUGGGAAAAUCUCAGCUUCAUUCUUAUCAGUCACCUCCAGGAGUUAAACUCUUGACGCUGGGUCUGAAAAUGGUGACUGGAGUUCCAUGAUUGGUUCAACGACUUCCACACUGCCAGCUACCUAGCUGCCCGCUCACUCAACCUCAGGGGUCCUCUUGACUGGCCAUUCCUGCAGGGCACUGUGUGACGUGCGCUGGAGAGCCUCCUGGUGCAAGGCCUACCGUGAGACUUAAUGAACAAUUACUGUCUGGCAGACCAUGUCUCACCCAGAGCCGAAGCUGGGCCAUCCUCCCUAGCCCUCCCCAGGCCCCCGGGUGGGCCUCUCAGAGUUCAGUCCUAUAGUUGUUAACUGGGUCAUGGCUAAUUGUACUUGAGUGUAGACAAGAACUCUAUCUUGUUCUUUUAUGAGAAUUCCUUCAUUCAUCAGUUCACUCAACAGUUGUUGACUGAGUGCCUGCCAUGUAUCAAAACUCCAGAACAGAUACUAUGCCUUUAAUGCAGCAUGCGGCUUAUUGUAACUUUUCGAAAGCUUUAAAACCUUUGCAGAGCAGAUGUAUAUACAUAACAUAGAAUGAUAGAAAGAUUAUCUAAAGCUUGAUAACCUGAGACCAUCCAAUAUGUUUUUAAUCAUGCAUUCGUCCGUCUCAAUUCUGUGCACAGCAGUGCAUGUGCCCUGACAGGGCAUCUGUGAUGUCUGGAGGCAAUUGGGUUGGCUCAGUGCAAGGAGGUGGAGGGUGUGGGAGACACUGUGACUGGUGUCCAGGGGCUAGAAGCCAGGGAUGCCUCCAAAUGUCCUGCAGCACACAGGACGGCCUCCACAACAGAGUUAUUCUGCCCGCAAUGUCAAACGUGCUCAGCUCAAGGAACCCUGCCUUACACUCCAGGCCAGCCUCUGAAGGUGUUUAGAAUCUUCCAAUGUGCAUGUACCAGAGAAAGUCAACAGGUAAGCACAUCUGUCUCAGUAAUAUUCUAGAAGGUUAAAGCAAUAACAGUACUUACUAUUUAUCCCUAAAAAGUGACACAUCUUCCUGCCUCUCCCACAGUCAGAGAUGACAGGGGCAACAGGAGAGUCAGGGAAGAAGUGGAUGGCCAGCUGCUUCCGAGUCCUGAGGGCUGUUUGAGACAGUCCUUCUUGAUGGUUGGGAUGGUGAAGAAAUGCCAGUCAGCAGACUGAAAUCACCAUGGUUUGCAGCUGCCAGUUUGCCACUUCACUGGAGAGAUUUUCUGAGAUUCAAGCUGGACAUUUGGUCUGAGUGUCAUCUUAAUGAGAAGGAAAAAUGACUCCACGGUGCUGUGUGGGGUCCCCGUCUCUGCGCAGCAGUCAUGCUCCAGGGAGGGGCUCUGUGGAUCCAGAUGCAGCUGAAACAGAACAACACAAAUGGAAAACGCACGCACACACACUAACUGAAGGAACAAGGAAGCAUUCGGUGGGUGCUCUCUUUCUGGCUUUGUGGAAGAAGAUUCACGAUGGUCCAGCCUCACUCAGAGGCCAAAAACUAAUGACAAUGGGAAUGUUGACAGACCUUUUCUGUCUUCUCGGAGAUGUUUUAAGAAGCUCCCUUGAGAGAGGUAGAAGAGAAAUGUGAGAGAGGAGAAUGCGUGAUGGAGGACCUGGGUUAGUCCGCGAGGGAUGGUGAGUGGAGAAGGGGCCAGAAAGAGACUGAACUCAGCGUUACAGCGGCGCCCAGAUGGGAAAACGAAAACCUUUGUGGACAGCAGGUAGCAGCUGCUAAAUAUGUCAGGCUAGAAGGCAGG
rnacentral:lncRNA from 1 species